rnacentral:rRNA from 1 species
CACGUAGGGGCCAAGCGUUGUCCGGAUUUAUUGGGCGUAAAGCGCGCGUAGGCGGUCCGUUAAGUCGGAUGUGAAAAUCCGGGGCUCAACCCCGGACCUGCAUCCGAUACUGGCGGGCUGGAGGCAGGUAGGGGAGAUCGGAAUUCCUGGUGUAGCGGUGAAAUGCGCAGAUAUCAGGAGGAACACCGGUGGCGAAGGCGGAUCUCUGGGCCUGUCCUGACGCUCAGGCGCGAAAGCUAGGGGAGCAAACAGG